rnacentral:lncRNA from 1 species
UUGAGAGAGCCGAGACCGCCGCUCUGGUGGAGGAGACGGAGAUCGCGCGGAUGAUGGCGGCUAUGCCUAGAAGGUGCUGAAUGCGCCACCGGUUGCUCCACCGGCGGUUGUGGUGACUAGAUUUACUGUUGUUAGAGGCUUUUGACUGCCUUCGCGAGGACGUUCAUUUGUUGCAGAUCACAACAAUCAGAGCAUCUGUGGUAACCACGGGGCAUAGAGAACUGGGCUCUGCUACCGGAGGUAGGGGAGGGGCCUUUUCCUGAUGGGAAG